AAGUGAACCGCAAAGGCUCAGUAUAACAGCUGUAAUUUCUUAGAUCAUAUUCCCAGUACUUGGAUAACUGUGGAAAAUCUAGAGCUAAUACAUGCAAAUAAUGCGAGUAUCGUAAGAUUCUCGUGCAGUUAUUAGACAAACCAAUCGGUCUUCGGACUGUUUUAUAUGGUGGAACUCUAGAUAACUUUGCUGAUCGUAUGGCCUUGUGCUGACGACAGAUCUUUCAAAUGUCUGCCCUAUCAACUUUGAUGUUAGUAUAGAGGACUAACAUGGUUGCAACGGGUAACGGGGAAUCAGGGUUCGAUUCCGGAGAGGGAGCCUGAGAAAUGGCUACCACAUCUAAGGAAGGCAGCAGGCGCGUAAAUUACCCACUCCCGGCACGGGGAGGUAGUGACGAAAAAUAACAAUAUAGAACUAGUUAACUAUGUUCUGUAAUUGGAAUGAAUCAAGUUUAAAUCCUUUAAUGAGGAUCAAGUGGAGGGCAAGUCUGGUGCCAGCAGCCGCGGUAAUUCCAGCUCCACUAGCGUAUGUUAAAAUUGUUGCGGUUAAAACGUUCGAAGUUGAUUAUUGUCCAGUGCGGGUGUGACAUCAUCAAGAAAUGAUUGUCAUCACUUUCCGGUUACUUGGACUAUAUGACUGAACACUAAAUGAAUAGCAUUGAUGUCUUUAACUAGACUAGAUGUCUAUUUAGUUUGGCUUACUUUUACCUUGAACAAAUUAAAGUGCUCAAAGCAGGCUUCAUAUGCUUGAAUAGUUUUGCAUGGAAUAAUGGAAAAAGACCUCGGUCUUAUUUGUUGCGCGGGUUCGCUCGUGUAAUGAUUUUCUAUUGGUUUGAUACAGAUCAAGAGGUAAUGAUUAAUAGAAGCAGUUGGGGGCAUUAGUAUUACGGCGCGAGAGGUGAAAUUCUUA
rnacentral:rRNA from 1 species